AAAAAAACUAAGGCCAAAAGGAACUUUAUCACCAAAAUGUCUAAAGGUGCAGCAGGUGUCACCUAGUCCACCUCCUCAGGGACCAAGGGCCACCAAGUCCACUCCACGCUCCACGGCCACAUCUAGAGCCACAUCUGCCACAUAGUGGGAACGAAGCACAACGGAAACCAAGGGACAAGACACUGUCUGGAGCCCAGCCAAUUCUGAACUUCACUACUCCCUACUGCUCGUUCAUGACAAGACCAGCAACA